rnacentral:piRNA from 1 species
UGCGCUCUUCCAGAUGCCCGUGUCGC